rnacentral:tRNA from 1 species
GUACCUAUAGCUCAACGGCAGAGCGCUUGUCUGUGGAACAAGAGGUUCCGGGUUCGAAACCCGGUAGGUACCCCA